UACGUAGGGGGCUAGCGUUAUCCGGAAUUACUGGGCGUAAAGGGUGCGUAGGUGGUUUCUUAAGUCAGAGGUGAAAGGCCACGGCUCAACCGCGGAACUGCUUUGGAAACUUUUUUGCUGGAGUACCGGAGAGGUAAGCGGAAUUCCUAGUGUAGCGGUGAAAUGCGUAGAUAUUAGGAGGAACACCAGUGGCGAAGGCGGCUUACUGGACGGUAACUGACGUUGAGGCUCGAAAGCGUGGGGAGCAAACAGG
rnacentral:rRNA from 1 species